rnacentral:rRNA from 1 species
UACGGGGGGGGCAAGCGUUGUUCGGAAUUACUGGGCGUAAAGAGCGUGUAGGCGGCCGCACAGGUCCGUUGUGAAAACUGGAGGCUUAACCUUCAGACGUCGAUGGAAACCGUGCGGCUAGAGUCCGGAAGAGGAGAAUGGAAGUUCCUGGUGUAGCGGUGAAAUGCGCAGAUAUCAGGAAGAACACCCGUGGCUAAGGCGGUUCUCUAGUACGGUACUGACGCUGAGACGCGAAAGCGUGGGGAGCGAACAGG